rnacentral:rRNA from 1 species
GAGUUUGAUCUUGGCUCAGGACGAACGCUGGCGGCGUGCCUAAUACAUGCAAGUCGAGCGGACAGAUGGGAGCUUGCUCCCUGAAGUCAGCGGCGACGGGUGAGUAACACGUGGGCAACCUGCCUGUAAGACUGGGGAUAACUCCGGGAAACCGGGGCGUAAUACCGGAUAAUUCUUUCCCUCACAUGAGGGAAAGCUGAAAGAUGGUUUCGGCUAUCACUUACAGAUGGGCCCGCGGCGCAUUAGCUAGUUGGUGAGGUAACGGCUCACCAAGGCAACGAUGCGUAGCCGACCUGAGAGGGUGAUCGGCCACACUGGGACUGAGACACGGCCCAGACUCUACGGGAGGCAGCAGUAGGGAAUCUUCC